GGGGUUGUGGCUCAGUGGUAGAGUGCUUGCCUGGCAUGUAUGAAGCACUGGGUUCGAUUCUCAGCACCG
rnacentral:tRNA from 1 species